rnacentral:sRNA from 1 species
CCCUCUCUCCCUUUCUCUCUGUCAUCUAAGCAGUUCAAGACAGGUACAGUGGUUCGCCACCACCACCAUUCCUUUAAUCUACUUCUUUUCUCAUCCUUAAAGUGCUCUCAGGAACAAUUUCAGUUACUUAAGUUCCAGUCUUCUCUCUGCAUUCUCCCCAGAACACCAACACAAAGAAAAAAAAUAACAAAAUAAGCAAGAGAGAUAUCUUUCAGGAUGAUGUGUCGAAAGCUUUCAUGUGACAUUUCUUUGUUGUUCCAUAAGGUAGUCCUGUGAUCACACGUCACCACAAUGCGAAGCAGUUGAAACUCAGGGGCCCUAUUCAGCUCAGUGCUGAGCAACCAUGAGAUUGGUUUUGUUUCCUUUCUGUUUGUUCUGUUGUUUUGUUUUUUAUUUGUUGACUAGAGCUAUUUUGUGGUGGAGGUUAGAAUUUAACUCUAUUCUGAAUGUUAGGUUUUACAUGUUUCCAAAUUUGAUUAGUGUUCUAGCUUCUCCUUGGCUUAUUGAACGAUAUGCUUCUGAGAAUCAACAUUAUUCCUUCCUUCUAAUCACCCAGAGACUCCAUCAAUUAUUACACACACACACACACACACACACACACACACACACACACCAUGAUUGUGCAUAACAAAUUGAAUUUGAAAAAUUUUAAACAUAUAAAGUGAGUUAUAGACCUCACAGUACAGAAUACUGAAUUGUUUGCUGUGUCUUGUAGUUCAGUUCACUAAGAACACUGAACAGUGUUACUGGAAGUAAGGACAAGCAGUGCCUCUCGUGGCUUUCAGAAAACAGGAAGUGUCUAUAAAGAGCUUGGCAAUGCUCUAGUAAAAGCAACAAGAUCCACAGAGAAAGGGCUGCUUACAUCCAAAUCCAAGGUUUGCCCCUUUGAGAUGAAUGAAUCCAGAUCAUUUCUUAAUAUGUUCAUUUCUUCCAUGCCUUCACCUCACAUAAUAGAGAUAUCAACUAGGACAGACAUAUCCAGGACUGACAGACCUAUAAAACUAAUGAAGCUUUGGUGGACUAUUAGUCUCACAGGUGAUGCCACAAGACCCUUGGGAGUACUUCUAACAGUGUGUGCACAUGCUUAAUACACUCGUAGCACAACCUCUUGGUGAGGGUCUCACAGUGCUAAGUGCUAAGUGCUAUUCUUUACUAAACCUGCCACCCUGUCUCCAAGCCCAGCCCUUCACUGAAGAAGCAGCAGGGCAUUCUUUGCAUUGGCAGAAAGUCAAUUAUUAGAUAACCUUUAAUGAAACUUGGACACUUGUUUCAACGUGCAAGACCUUGGUGCAUCUACAUCCAGUAAUAACAGAUGCUAAAAAUAUGUUUUGAGUGGGCUGGUGAGUUGGCCUUGUACGUAAAAGGUAGAGGCACUUGCCAACAAACAUGAUGACCUGGGUUAGAGACCCAGGAUGCAAAUGGAUGCACACGCCCAAGUUGUCCUCUGACCUUCACAGAUACACAGUGGCUUGUGAAUAACCUCCUCCCACCCCCCACACACUAAAUAAACAAAUACAAUUGAAUAUAUGUGAAGAGGUGGUAUUUCACACCAGGGGCUUACACAGAAUUAAGUUUCUAAAGGCAAGAACGUCAGGCCUCUCCCUUCUUCAUAAAGGCACUCAUUGGGGAUGGGCCUUCAGCAGUCUCCAUUUUGAGCUUCUCAGGUGCUUGUCACGUGCCUUACAAUUUGAACUGUUCUCGUUUAAGGUUACUUCCUGCUCUAAGUUCUAAUUUUAAACUACAUGACUCUGUUUCUGAAAUUAGCAGUCAAAGGUCAAGGGAGCAUUAGACAUCAGACACAUGGCUUCCUUUGCAGAAUGAGUGCUGUAGUGGGGACUAUCCCAGGUUUUAUGGAGAGAGAGAGAAAAAGAAUAGAGAAAUAAAGACUUGGCAGCUCGUAUCUGCCAGUGAAAACAACCUGUCUGGAGGGAUUCAGAUUUGUGAUCCAUUAGUUUCCUAUUGGUGGCUUUUGAAGAAUUAAGCAAAUCAUUCCACUUCAUCCCUCUGCUGGGGAGUCUAGGAGCAGAGACCAUGGUUUCUCAGUGGUUUGAGAUUUAUUGGGCCACAGCAACUUGUGGUUCCUGUGGAGACAGAAAGGGCAGGAACAGUUACUGGCAGUUACUCUUCCCCAGUCUCCCUACCACAUGUUCUACGUUCUACAAAUUCAGUUGACAUCAACAGUCUUGCCACUGAGAAGUGACCUUCGUAAAAGAAAAAAGAAAAGAAAAAAAAAGAAUCUACAUAUCUGACAUGUGUUGGGGAUUUAAACCCAGUCGGGAGUCUGGAACUCCAAGACCAGAUCACAGCAUCUACUAAAGGCACUCUUGUUAUGUCACCUCGUGAUGGAAGCUGGAAGGCAGAGAGAGAAGUGACAGAAAAGACUGUCUCACAUGAAGAGCAGAGAGAUCACCUCCACUCCCACAUGUCCUUUAAUAGUGGCAUUAGGGUAUUUGUAAGGACAGAACUCCUGAGAGUCAUACCUCCUUCACCAGGCCCUGCCUCACAACUGUUAUCCAGGGAUUAAGUUUCCAGCACAUAUAUUGAAGGGCAGUCUCCAUCUCAUUCCUCUUCCACUGAGCAUACUGCAUCCCAUUAUUCUAAAAUGCUGUAUCGUACUACAACCACAAUGAAAAAGGCUAGAAAUAGCAAUAUUUUGCUAUCAAAUUAAUUUUUAUGGUAUAAACACUCAGAUAUGGCCAAAGGAGAUGAUAAAAUGUCAUUGUCCAACAUUUUCUCUAUUAUAUAGAACUACAUAAAGGCAAGACAUGUGCCCUAGGCAAUAUUGCUAUCAGUGAAAUACGUUUCAGAAAUGGCCUCAUAGAACUGGUGAUCAGUUCUGGUUUAAUUAAAAGCUGAAGCAACGUACAAUCUGUCUUCAAUAUAUACAAUAAUUACAUUCCUGGAAAAAAGUCAGUAUAAAUUAAAACAUACUUUUUUAAAGUAUUGGUUCUUAUAUAAAAACGCAGAUAAGACUGAACACUAGAAUAAUAAAUCUUUCUUCUACCUAAUGGUCUGUAGAACAUUUAGAACAUAUAGGAACUGAGGAACCGUUAUUUAUUGACCACAACUUGUCCCACACAUUGCAAGAUGUGUUGCUUCCCUGGCUGCAGCACCAAGUAUCCAUAGCAACUUCUGUAUCAUUGUGAUAACGACGCACCUCAGGAAUUUCCAGAUGGUCCCUUGAGAGUAGCACCAUUCCAAUUGACAAGCUUGGCUAACAGAGCCUCGGGAAGGAAGGAGAUCACGUCUACACCCUCAUCCAGCCUCCUUUCCCAUACCCCCACAGCGUCUGACAGAAAAGAGCCCAGUGAAGGCUGCGGAUAGUUCAUAUGGUGGCCAACUGACUCUGUGCUCAGUGGGAAACCAGAAACUACUGCCACUGCCUGGGAGGGGACAGAGACCUCUUAACUCAGGACCUCCUUCAGACACUGAGGGAACUUAAAUGUUGUAGCCCUCGAUCCAUCCACAGCUCACGUGACGUAUCUCUACUGUGGAUGUUCUUCUCGUUUAAAGAUACUUCUCAUAAUAGCAAAUCUCACCUACAUCUACUCCUCGGUGACUGUUUUUCCUCACCCCAUCUAGUACACUGGAGGAGGCGUAAGGAUGACACUGGGACAUCAGAUGUCAGUAUCUCAACAAGUGAGAACCAACUUGUUGGAGUCACCAUCUCUCCUUCACGAAGGAAUAAUUACUGGUGCUCAUUUAACACCCUCAGCAUAGAGGACAACAAACUGGGUUAUCACUGCUUUGUAUCUGCAUCUAUACUGAUUCUGAGGGACCUAAACUGCACCCGGAUGGCGGAAAUACAGUGAACUUUUAAAGUUGUGGAAGGUGGUGUUGUCUAUUGCACCAUUAAGCCAGUGGUUUUUAUUUGGAUUUUGGUUCACAUUGACUACUAAUUUUCUUUUUCUAUCACCAUCCUUCCUGACCUGUAAGCCCUAACUGAUGGUUCAAGGAGCAUAUUGGGAUGUGUUUACAGUGGCAAGACUCCACCAAGUAUCCAGCAAAAGUGAUCUGGAGUAGAAUCUUAGCCAGAGCGCUAAUUAUUGAUACUUACCCAGAGACCCCUGACAUAGCAUAGCAAAGGAAAUAAACCGUGCCGAGAAAGUG